AUGGCUCGGGCUCUCCUCAAGCAGAGAGGGAUGUCGGCUAUCUUCUGGGGAGAGGCGGUGCUAACGGCCGUCUACAUCCUCAACCGCUCUCCUACUAAGGCACUCGACGGCAGAACUCCGUACGAGGCCUGGCAUGGGCGGAAGCCGGCGGUCUCUCAUUUGCGGGUCUUUGGCUGCCUUGCGUUCGCCAAGGAGCUCGGCCACAUCGGCAAGCUCGACGACAGGAGCACUCCGGGAGUCUUCAUCGGCUACGCGGAGGGCUCAAAGGCCUACCGCAUCCUCGACCCAAAGACACAACGUGUGCGCACAACGCGAGACGUCGUGUUCAACGAAGGGCGAGGGUGGCAAUGGGACAAGGCGGUGGACGACGGCUCGACGCCGACGUAUGACGACUUCAUUGUCGAGUACGCUCACUUCAAGGAAGCUGGGGGAGCAAGCAGCUCCUCUUCACCGGGCACGUCCACCCCGGCCCCCAAAACUACAUCGACUCCGGCGCCUGCUACACCGACGACACCACAACCGGCGACGCCGCAUACUCCAGCCCCGGCGGUCGCCACUCCGGGCUCGUCUUCAUCAGCACCAGCUCACGCAGAGCACAACCCGAUGAAGUUCGCUUCCCCGCUCACUCACGACGAGGAGCGGGUCGACGCAUGGUAUGGAGGCGAACCGCUGCGGUACCGUACGAUGGAUAAUGUGCUCGGCGACCAGCCGAUGCCAGGACUGGUGCCACGUGACCUGGAGGCGCAGCUACAGCUCGUGUGUGAAGACGGCGAACCACGGUCCUUUGCAGAGGCCGAGAGAGACGCGGCAUGGCGCGCCGCGAUGAAGUUGGAGAUGGAUGCGGUCGAGCAAAACCGCACCUGGGAGCUUGCUGAUCUCCCUCGAGGUCACCGCGCAAUCACCCUUAAGUGGGUGUUCAAGCUGAAGAGGGAUGGAGCGGGCGCCAUCAUCAAGCACAAGGCUCGUUUGGUGGCCCGAGGCUUCUUGCAGCAGGAAGGAGUCGACUUCGACGACGCUUUCGCUCCCGUGGCACGGAUGGAGUCCGUGCGACUUCUCCUUGCGCUGGCUGCCCAGGAGGGCUGGCGUGUCCACCACAUGGACGUUAAGUCGGCAUUCCUCAACGGCGACUUGAAGGAGGAAGUCUACGUGCAUCAGCCACCGGGGUUUACGAUUCCCGGCCAGGAGGGCAAGGUGCUCCGCCUGCGCAAGGCUCUCUAUGGCCUGCGACAGGCACCCAGGGCGUGGAACGCCAAGCUGGACUCCACGCUGAAGAAGAUGGGUUUCGAGCAGAGCCCGCAUGAGGCUGCCGUCUACCGACGGGGGAGUGGAGGAAAUGCCCUGCUGGUGGGCGUCUACGUUGACGACCUGGUGAUCACCGGCACCAAAGAUGCAGAGGUGGCGGCGUUCAAGGAAGACAUGAAGGCCACGUUCCAGAUGAGUGACCUGGGGCUCCUCUCCUUCUAUCUAGGGAUUGAGGUGCACCAGGACCACUCCGGGAUCGCGCUUCGACAGUCCGCCUACGCCAAGCGCAUCGUUGAGCUAGCUGGGCUCACCGACUGCCAUCCAGCUCUCACUCCGAUGGAGGAGAGGCUGAAACUAAGUCGCGACAGCACGACGGAGGAACGACCAACGUCGGAACACCAGCAGGCAGUGAAGAGGAUCGUCCGCUACAUAGCAGGGACCCUCGACCACGGCCUCCAUUACCCUAGGUGCCCUGGGGCGGCACACUUCGUCGGGUACAGCGACAGCGACCACGCCGGCGACAUCGACACCAGCAAGAGCACGAGCGGGAUCCUCUUCUUCCUCGGCAAGUGUCUCGUGAGCUGGCAAUCAGUCAAGCAGCAGGUGGUGGCCCUGUCCAGCUGUGAGGCUGAGUACAUAGCGGCCUCCACCGCCUGUACUCAGGCGCUCUGGCUUGCUCGACUGCUUGGUGAUCUUCUCGUUCAAGACACCAGAACGGUGCAGCUCCUGGUGGACAGCAAGUCCGCCCUGGCCCUGGCAAAGAACCCCGUGUUCCACGAACGGAGCAAGCACAUCCGACUGAGGUAUCACUUCAUCCGCAGCUGUGUGGAAGAAGGGAGCAUCGAGGCGAGCUACAUCAACACCAAGGAUCAGCUCACAGACCUGCUCACCAAGCCCCUUGGGAGGGUCAAGUUCCUCGAACUUUGCUCCAGGAUUGGGAUGAUUCAACUCUCCCACAAGACGACGUACAAGACUUAG
rnacentral:rRNA from 1 species